ACAUUUUGCUGAGCUGGUUUGUGAGAAUAGAGGAAGUUGGAUACACCUAAAUUUGGGGCAAGAUGAGAAAUUUGUUUAGGGUGCGUGACUUGGAAAUGGUUCCUCUGUUGUGCAGAAUUUUGGGAACCCAAGGUACUUCUGGAUCUCCUCAAUCUCUCAUUGUAGCAUCAUUUAGAGCCUGUGAUCCAACCUCACACUUCUGUGAAAUAAUUGCUUAUGCCUUCAGACUGCCGAUUCGUGUUUGAGUUCAGACAUGGGGGGAGUUACUGAAGUUAUUAUCAGUCACUGUGUCAUCCAUAGAUGGGAUGAAAGGGGUCGGUAUCACAGUCAUGUGGCUUUUCUAAGAUGCCCCAUGUUUUAUCUUCAGUGGACAGCAGUACAACAUGCCAGAUAGAAAGGUCCUGGCAAAACACUCCUGAAUUCCUUCGCCUGUACUGAAAAUAGAUGAAGAAACAGUUAAAGAAAUCUGACCCUGGGACCUAAGAAUUAUUCCUAUGCCCUCUUCUGUAGCAUGAAGUUGAAUUUGAUAAUCUUUAUGGUCUCUUUCCACUUAAAACACUAAAUAUUUUAUUCUAUUCCUCUGCCCCACACUACUUUUAUUGUUGGCCUUUUAAAAGUUUGGUCAGAUUGGGGCAUCCUGUAAUAUUAGUGUUUCCCAUUGAAAAUUAAAUGGAGA
rnacentral:lncRNA from 1 species